CUUGUACCAGGGAAAAUAUAACAGAGAAGUGGCUUAGGAAAUUUGCCACUUGAGGCAGUGCUUGAGACCCCCUCAGGCACUUUAAAAUAUUUUUCCCGUGGGAGCCCAGAGAUGUUUUUCACUUGUCUUCUGAGGAUCUGAUUGCAGCCAGGAGGAGAAGGGCAGCCUCUGGGGGCCCAUGCUGAGUUCAUCAGAUGUCCUGGGAACCAGCUGUCUAAGGGGCUGCCUUUCCCUACUGCAGGGACACAGCACUAAGUGGCAAGCUCCUGACUGUGUGCCUGACACGUAUUUUCUUAUUAGGAGUAGCUUCUCGGUUCUUGUGAAGAAGAGAGCACGCUGGGCAAGGCAACCCUCACCUGGUUGGGGAGCAGUGGCAGCUUGGAGGAAAAGGAGGGUACUUAUCAGGUUCUGUGAAUGCCCAGUGGACAAGACACAGAGGACGAUGUGUAGGGGGAGAGCCCAGCGAAAAGCACCUGAGACUCUUCAGGAGCCUCCAAGACAAUUUGGAGGGCUGUGUGAACAGGUGGGUGCAAGGCGAAUGCAAGUGAUUUAUUAAAGUGAAUACAAUCAGUUUUGAAGCCAUAGCUGAUGAGGUCUAGGCCCAAGCUCGUUACCUGUGCUGAAUAACACAUCAUCCUAAAACUUAGUGGCACAAAACAACUGCUCGCUGUUGCUUAUAUAUUCUAUGGAUCAGGAGUUCAGAGAGCAUGCAUUAGAGACGGUUUGCCCCUGCUCCAUGUUGUCUGGGGGCUCAGCUGGGAAAAGUCAGCAGUUGAUGGUGACUUGAUACUAGGGGCUGAAAUCAUCCAUAAGUGCCUUCACUCACGUGUCUGGCUGUCAGUGUUGGUUGUCCUGCAAAAGGACAAAAAAUACCCAGGUGAUCAUGCAUCUGUGGAACAUAUAGACAGAUGGCAGAGUUGACCAAAAAGGGGCUUAGGACCUCGUUUGUGGAAGGUACCAGGUUGAGGACAGGUGAGUAGGAUGGAUGGCCACAUCCAGACUCCAAAUGGCUUUGACAUGAUGCAUGCAGGUGCCAAAAGUUGGCAGAUAAACUGUCUUGCUCCUCUUCCUGGGGUUCCCAUCUUUACUCAGGUCUAUUGGUAAAGAAGCCUCCGAGUCAAGCAGGACAUGGUCUGAGUGCUUUGGAAAUAGUUAUACGAAUGGAGAUGAAAUCAUAGUCACUAGAUCACAGUAUGCUAUUGCUGGAAGGAGUUUUGGAAACUAUCUAGAUCAGUAAUUUUUAACAACUAAAAACAAUUUUUUUUUUCAUACAAAUCAUAUGGUUCAUCAGACCCAAUGUUUGGAGCAGAUAAAAGCACAGCUGAUUAGACGGAAGCAGGAGUCCAGUCAAGCUCCCACUGGUCACCUGUGUGAGCUCUGGGGAUCUUUUUGAUAAGGAGGACAUUGAGUCCCAGAGAAGUGAAAUGACUUACCCAAAGCCACCCAACAGGUUUUUGAGGGAGAUGAGAAUGGGACUCUGGAUUCUGACUCUCAGAUGAGGGCUGUAUCUACUUUUUACUCUAACAUUUUUGAUUUAUGUCACAUAAAUUGCAUACUCAUUGUAGAAAACCUAAAAACAUACAGGCACAUACAAGAAAAUGAAAAUCAUUUUUAAUUCCAUGGCCAAGGAAUAACCAUUUUUAACAUUUUCAUGUAUAUCACUUCAGUAUUUAUCUUUGUGUAUACACACAAAGACUUGAGCUAUUUCAAAGUUGAGCUAUUUCCAGAUGAGCUAUUUCAAAUCCUGAAAGAUGAUGCUGUGAAAGUCCUGCACUCAGUAUACCAGCAAAUCUGGAAGUUCAGCAGUGGCCACAGGACAGGAAAAGGUCAGUUUUCAUUCCAAUCCCAAAGAAAGGAAAUGCCAAAGAAUGUUCAAACAACCGCACAACUGCACUCAUCUCACAUGAUAGCAAUGUAAUGCUCAAAAUUCUCCAAGCCAGACUUCAACAGUACAUGAACCAUGAAUGUCCAGAUGUUCAGGCUGGAUUUAGAAAAGGCAGAGGAACCAGAGAUCAAAUGGCCAACAUCUGCUGGAUCAUUGAAAAAGCAAGAGAGUUCCAGAAAAACACCUAUUUCUGCUUUAUUGACUGUGCCAAAGCCUUUGAUGUGUAGAUUACACAAACUGUGGAAAAUUCUGAAAGAGAUGGGAAUACCAGACAACCUGACCUACCUCCUGAGAAUCCUGUAUGCAGGUCAAGAAGCAACAGUUAGAAAUGAACAUGGAACAACAGACUGGUUCCAAGUAGGAAAAGGAGUACGUCAAGGCUGUAUAUUGUCACCCUGCUUAUUUAACUUAUGUGCAGAGUACAUCAUGUGAAAUGCUGGGCUGGAUGAAGCACAAGCUGGAAUCAAGAUUGCUGGGAGAAAUAUCAAUAACCUCAGAUAUGUAGCUGACACCACCCUUAUGGCAGAAAGUGAAGAAGAACUAAAGAGCCUCUUGAUGAAAGUGAAAAAGGAGAGUGCAAAAGUUGGCUUAAAACUCAGCAUUCAGAAAACUAAGAUCAUGGCAUCUGGUCCCAUCACUUCAUGGCAAGUAGAUGGGGAAACAAUUGAAAUAGUGAGAGACUUUAUUUUGGGGGGGCUCCAAAAUCACUGCAGAUGGUGAUUGAAGCCAUGAAAUUAAAAGACGCUUACUCCUUGGAAGAAAAGCUAUGACCAACCUAGACAGCAUAUUAAAAAGCAGAGACAUUACUUUGCUAACAAAGGUUUGUCUAGCCAAAGCUAUGGUUUGUCCAGUAGUCAUGUAUGGAUGUGAGUUGGACUAUAAAGAAAGCUGAGUGCCAAAGAAUUGAUGCUUUUGAACUGUGGUGUUGGAGAAGACUCUUGAGAGUCCCUUGGACUGCAAGGAGAUCCAACCAGUCCAUCCUAAAGGAAAUCUGUCUUGAACAUUCAUUGGAAGGACUGAUGCUGAAGCUGAAACUCCAAUAUUUUGGCCAUCUGAUGCAAAGAACUGACUCAUUUGAAAAGACCCUGAUGCUGGGAAAGAUUGAAGGUGGGAGGAGAAGGGGACAACAGAGGAGGAGAUGGUUGGAUGGCAUCACUGACUCAAUGGACAUGAGUUUGCGUAGGCUCCAGGAAUUGGUGAUGGAUGGGGAAGCUUGACAUGCUGCAGUCCAUGGAGUCCCAAAGAGUCAGACAUGACUGAGCGACUGAACUGACCUGAUAUACACACAAGGUAACCUAAAAUAAACACUGUUUCAUAGCCUGAUUUUUUUUCUCU
ensembl:lncRNA